CCUACGGGAGGCAGCAGUGAGGAAUAUUGGUCAAUGGACGAGAGCCUGAACCAGCCAAGUAGCGUGAAGGAUGACUGCCCUAUGGGUUGUAAACUUCUUUUAUAAAGGAAUAAAACGAGGCACGUGUGCCUUUUUGCAUGUACUUUAUCAUCAAGGAGCGGCUAACCUGGUGCCAGCACCCGCGGUAAUACGGAGGAUCCGAGGGUUUCCCGGAUUUAUUGGGUUUAAAGGGACCGUAGAUGGGUUGUUAAGUCAGUUGUGAAAGUUUGCGGCUCAACCGGAGAACUGCAAUUGAUACUGGCAGUCUUGAGUACAGUUGAGGUAGGCGGAAUUCGUGGUGUAGCGGUGAAAUGCGUAGAUAUCACGAAGAACCCCGAUGGCGAAGGCAGCUUACUAAACUGUGACUGACAUUGAUGCGCGAAAGUGUGGGUAUCAAACAGGAUUAGAUACCCGAGUAGUC
rnacentral:rRNA from 1 species